UACGGAGGGUGCAAGCGUUAAUCGGAAUUACUGGGCGUAAAGCGUGCGCAGGCGGUUUUGUAAGUCUGGCGUGAAAUCCCCGGGCUCAACCUGGGAAUUGCGAUGGAGACUGCAAGGCUAGAAUCUGGAAGAGGGGGGUAGAAUUCCACGUGUAGCAGUGAAAUGCGUAGAGAUGUGGAGGAACACCGAUGGCGAAGGCAGCCCCCUGGGUCAAGAUUGACGCUCAUGCACGAAAGCGUGGGGAGCAAACAGG
rnacentral:rRNA from 1 species